rnacentral:tRNA from 1 species
GCCGGGGUGGCGGAAUUGGCAGACGCGUAUGACUCAGAAUCAUAUAGGGUUUCCUAUGCGGGUUCAAAUCCCGUCCCCGGCACCA